GUCGUUCAUGGCCUCCCCCACGCCCCCUCCUCUCGCCCCUCCCCUUCCCUCACCACCCAACCGAACCAACCAGCCCACCAACCCGAAGAGAAAAGCGAGCGGAGGCGAGAUGGCAACCGGACGCGAGGCCGGCGAGGCGGCGCCGGGGGAGGAGGAGGAGCAGAGGGAGUGGGCAGAUCUGACGCCGGUGUGCCUGGAGGAGGCAUUCUUGCGGCUGGGCCUGGAGGACUUGUGGCGCGGCGCCAUGGCGUGCUGCCGCUCCUGGCGGGCGGCCGUGCGCUCCCGGCUGGCGCUCUUCGCCGUGCUCGACCUCCGCCUGGCUUUCGAGGCGGUCGGCGCUGCACUUCUGCAGCUGGGACCCGGGGCCCCACCACGCACACCGUCUCUCCCGCGACCACGUGCCGGCCAGGUUCGCCGCCUGGGCGAUGGGUGGAAGGGUCCGUCAGAGGAGGGGGCGCGGAGGGAGAGGAAGGCGGAGAUGGCGCAUAGCACACUGCCGAGAAGCUGUAGAGCCAGGCCUCCCCCGACGUCGAGUUCGAGAACGAGAAGUUCGAGCUCCAGAAGGUGGCGAAGGAGGAGGCCAACGGUGAAGCAGAUGUUGGAUUUGGGGCAAAGGGUGCGCCGGAAGUGAUGUAUGGCCUCCGCUCGUCCUUCCAGGCCUCACCCGUUCACCUGUAAACAUAAAUCCAAUGUAUAAAUCCAAACGAGAUUCGUUCCAUGUAGGAAGGUUGCACAUCCUGCAUGUCACUUGCCACGCUGAACUUUGUCACCAACCCAACCUAACUCAUUUCAUCCUGAUUGUCUGGAAACAUUUAUGAGGACAGAAUCACAAUCACGCCUGUCACUUGCCACACUGCCAUAUUGCCACAGACCAAGCAGGUGCAGGACGUGGUCUCUUCCUCUUUUCGUUUUGAUUCGUUUUGAAGUUACAGCACCAGCCUACUGCAUGCAUCUCCAAGCAUCAGGCUGCUAGUAGUUUACCUGUGCAAGUCAGGCAUCAUUGGACCCUUGUUCAGAAAUCAAGGGCUGGCGUAUAUAGCUAGUAUCAUUGGACACAUUGUCGGAAUUUUUAACACAAUGUCUGGGCUUGUAUAGCUAGUAUUAUAGGCAGGGUGUCUUUUUAAGUGAAAGUUCUUUCUAAGUAUUUUUUCAACUGCUUGUCUGGGCAUAUAUUGCAGUAUUAUAGGAUGCCUGAACAACGAGUCCCAAAUUUGGGAACAGGACAGACAGCUACCUCCCAGUUUUGUAUAUAUGAAAGUGAGCGAGUCCCGAAUUUGGGGACAGGCAGGGGUCCAUUAGGAACAUGGCAGUUAAUUUGCAUAAUCCUCGACCUCCUCCUGCAAUCUCUCUUUCUCCCUUUCUUCUCUGAAUUUCUCGGUGUUGUAUAAGUCUGUAGGAUUCAGAUUUCAAGAGUACUUGCUCCUUGUACUAGUUACUUCUACUACUUAUUUUUAGCUGCUUAGUACUACUCUGUAGAUCUGUGAUACUAGUCUAGUCGCUUGUAUAAUUUUGUUUAUUAGUGUAACCUGAACCAUGGAGUAGUACCUUGUUCGCAUAUGUGUGAUUAUGUGUGGUCUGUAGUCUCUGUGAUAGCUCCAGUACAUGUGAACUAUAUGUUGUGGUGUAAAUCAUUUUCAUUCUAUCUUAUAAACGUGUUUCUUCAAUAGCUAUUUCUGUUCAAGUCUUGUUUUCAUUGAUGUUAGCAUUUAGUUUGUCUCAAGUAAAAAAAUACUAAAAGGAUGAUAUAUGGGUGAGGGACUGAAAGGAUGAUAUGCUUCCAUGAAUUGAUUUGUAAGAAGUUUUCUUGGUUGUGUACAAAUCAGCCCAAAUAUGUGAGCCUUGGUUCUGAAAACUAAAGAGUUCAUAUAUUGAUAGAUAGACUGUCAUUUAGGAUAUGCUAAAUAGAAAGCUUUAUAAGAUGGAACUAUCAAUUCAUCAUGACUUCACUUUGUCCUUUAAUUUAAUAUGGUUAGAACUACCAUGGGGUUUUAAGUAUUUGGGGCAUUAAGAAACAGUAUGCUGGAUGUUUGGCCUUGCAUCCGUCCUUCCAUGAAUUCAUGCUUGUACAUUGCUAGUUAUUGCUUUCUUUGCAGGUCUUAUUCCUCCUCGAUCUGGUGCAGCAGCAACAAUUCAAGGUCAUGGUCAUGGAGCAGCAUCCAUAUAUUUUUCUUCUUAUUCUUCCCUGAGAUGAGAUGAGAUGAGGUUUAUUUUCCUCAAGGUCAAGUCUCUGUUGGUCGGUCUUCAAUUCUUCAUGCUGCUGCUGCUGCUACUGCUACAUGAGGGCCCUCUUCAAUUCUGCAUCCGUUGCGGCCGCCGCAACUUCCACCUCCAGAAGAGCACCUGCUCCUUGUGCGGUUACCCGGCCGCCUGCAUACGCAAGUGUAAGCCCCCUCCCUCCGUCCUAGAUCUCUAGGUCUAUUGCUGUCAUGCGCCAUGUUCUUGAUGUUGCGCGUCCUCAUGUGGAUGCCACAAACGGCGCUGCUCCUGCGUGCAGAUUUGAUUCACCGCAUUAGUAUGCGGUUGUUGUCUCGCCGUGGUUGUUCAAAUUGAGAUGCACCCAGUUGAUUCGUCAUCUCGGGUCAUAAUUUUUCUACAUUCCCUGUUGCUGUAGCUUGUUGGAUGCAUAGUUUGAUCUCCCAAUGGGAAUUAUUAGUGAAUGGUGAUGUCUGUGGUCACGAGAAUGGUGUUGUAGUAGCUGGUAUGCUUGAUGCGUGUAUGUCCAUCUCUUUACUGUUUUGCUAGAACCACAAAUCCUGAUGCAUGAUGAUCAUGGUCUGGUUUGUUAGAUCUAUUCUGCUGGUGCUUAAAAUUUGACAUGCCUGGAUUCUAAAACUCGUUCUUAUAGUUUUCAUUUCUACGAUCAAUUUAGAGAGUUGCACAUGUCAGUAUAUUAUAUACCAAAAACAUUCCUAGCUAGUGAGAACAUUUAGUCACUCCAUGAACGCAUACUGGUUAGUGUUAGUCAUACUAUUUAU
rnacentral:rRNA from 1 species